UACGGGGGGGGCAAGCGUUGUUCGGAAUUACUGGGCGUAAAGGGCGCGUAGGCGGCCUUCUAAGUCGGACGUGAAAUCCCUCGGCUCAACCGAGGAACUGCGUCCGAUACUGGUUGGCUUGAAUUCGGGAGAGGGAUGCGGAAUUCCAGGUGUAGCGGUGAAAUGCGUAGAUAUCUGGAGGAACACCGGUGGCGAAGGCGGCAUCCUGGACCGAUAUUGACGCUGAUGCGCGAAAGCCAGGGGAGCAAACGGG
rnacentral:rRNA from 1 species